GAUGAACGCUGGCGGCGUGCCUAAUACAUGCAAGUCGAGCGAACAGACGAGGAGCUUGCUCCUCUGACGUUAGCGGCGGACGGGUGAGUAACACGUGGAUAACCUACCUAUAAGACUGGGAUAACUUCGGGAAACCGGAGCUAAUACCGGAUAAUAUAUUGAACCGCAUGGUUCAAUAGUGAAAGACGGUUUUGCCGUCACUUAUAGAUGGAUCCGCGCCGCAUUAGCUAGUUGGUAAGGUAACGGCUUACCAAGGCAACGAUGCGUAGCCGACCUGAGAGGGUGAUCGGCCACACUGGAACUGAGACACGGUCCAGACUCCUACGGGAGGCAGCAGUAGGGAAUCUUCCGCAAUGGGCGAAAGCCUGACGGAGCAACGCCGCGUGAGUGAUGAAGGUCUUCGGAUCGUAAAACUCUGUUAUUAGGGAAGAACAAAUGUGUAAGUAACUAUGCACGUCUUGACGGUACCUAAUCAGAAAGCCACGGCUAACUACGUGC
rnacentral:rRNA from 1 species